GGUGAGCUUUAAACUUUUAUGCCAAUGGAUCAUACAAAUGGCUUUGUGAUGGCUAAGGCAUCUUUUAGCAAAUGCCUACAUGAAGUCGCUGACGCUCCUGAAUACCCCAGCUGUUUAAAAAAAAUGUGUUAAGUUCCCUUUGCAUUAAACACAAAAUCAUUAUAAAUAAAUAUGUGAUGCCAAUCUAAUAAUAACAUAGUGGAUGCUCAAUUUGGUGGUGCAUCUUAUGACUUGUACAUAUGGAACCAGUGCAAUAAGACCACUUGAGGAAAACCUGCCCAAUAGGGACCGCUGUUGGUUGUUAGGUGACCAAUGUUUGCAUGAUGACCCCCAUCUUGGGAGCUGCUCCUAGAUCCCAUGAAGAUAUGCACAACAUUGCUGUGUCAGAAAUACGGUGGAGCCUUGUAGUUGGGUGCAUAUUGUAAAAUGUUUCCUCACUCCAAAACCAUGAACUCUGGUUUCCUAAACCCUCAAGCUAUGCAGCCGAAGGAGGAGACUUAUCACAGGAGAAUCACUAAUAAUUUUGAAGAAGUGAAGAGCUUAACAAUGUUUCAACCAACACCUAAAGAAGCUUUCACUUGGCUGUUAGAUCAAGGGCUGGAUACAGAAAACAGUAAUCCUUGUGAUGGCAGUAUUGUCCAAGGAUUCCUCACUCAAAACCAUGAUAACAAGUUGCUAGAACCCUCAAGCUAUGCAGACAAAGGACUGGAUAUAUUUUUUCGUGACCAAGCCUUCUGUAUAAUUAUUUAUACUUAAACCAUACAAAGCACUAUCUAGCCCCAAAGUAGGCAUACAGAGUAGCUUGUGUUGUGGGUACUAAGAUAGUUGAUAUUAUAAUAUUCAUUUACAUUUAUAUACUACCUAUAAAUACUUAUAUAAUGUAUAAAUACACACACACUGGAAAAAACCCAUGCUCUUCACACAAAUAUUUUCCAGGUGUGGGAAUCGAACCCAUGACCGUGGAUGCAGGAGCACUACUUACUGCGCCACGCGUAUGUGUUUUUAUUUUGAAGCAAAUUAUUAAAGUUGAUAAUUCAAAUUGUAGUCAUGUUUUUAAUUAAUCUAUAAUUAAUUUUUAAUUUACAUUUUUGUUAAAUAUUUACCUAUACUUCAGUCUAUUUUUGUUAGAGGGGGUACCUAUAUGUGUAAGUAGGGUCGUUUCUUGAUUAAAUUAAACUAAAGAAUGAAAGAUAUAUAUUAUAACAAAAUUUGUCAACAACAAUAUAUCAAGUCUGAAUAAAAAAUACCAACACAAGUAAA